rnacentral:rRNA from 1 species
AUUGAACGCUGGUGGCAUGCUUUACACAUGCAAGUCGAACGGCAGCACGGGCUUCGGCCUGGUGGCGAGUGGCGAACGGGUGAGUAAUAUAUCGGAACGUACCCAGAAGUGGGGGAUAACGUAGCGAAAGUUACGCUAAUACCGCAUACGAUCUAUGGAUGAAAGCAGGGGACCGCAAGGCCUUGUGCUCCUGGAGCGGCCGAUAUCUGAUUAGCUAGUUGGUGAGGUAAAGGCUCACCAAGGCGACGAUCAGUAGCUGGUCUGAGAGGACGACCAGCCACACUGGAACUGAGACACGGUCCAGACUCCUACGGGAGGCAGCAGUGGGGAAUUUUGGACAAUGGGCGCAAGCCUGAUCCAGCAGUGCCGCGUGAGUGAAGAAGGCCUUCGGGUUGUAAAGCUCUUUUGUCAGGGAAGAAACGGUAGAGGCUAAUAUCCUGUGCUAAUGACGGUACCUGAAGAAUAAGCACCGGCUAACUACGUG